rnacentral:pre_miRNA from 8 species
UCCAUCUGCAAAGACUUGGUGCUGACUGCUUGUAACAGCAACUCCAUGUGGAAGGUUUGUGUCUUCCAGUGGAGCUGCUGUUGCGUGCAGAUAGUCACCAUUAUCUGCUUUAUGCAU